AUGGCGAAAUCCUGGCUGCUGCUGUUCUGCUUGGCGUUUCUCUUGCCGGCGGCAAGCGCGACGUGCCACCCCGACGACCUACGUGCGCUGCGGGGCUUGGCCCGGAACCUUAGGGGCGGUGGCGCCGCCCACCUCCACAGCGUGUGGUCUGGCGCCUCGUGCUGCGAUUGGGAAGGUGUGGGCUGCCAUGGUGCCAGCGGCCGCGUCACGGCUCUGCGGCUCCAUGGUCACGGCCUCGCGGGGCCCAUCCCAGGAGCCUCCCUUGCGGGCCUCAUAAGGUUGGAGGAGCUCUUCCUUGGCUCCAACUCUUUCGCGGGCACCCUUCCCGACGAGCUCUUCAGCCUUGCUGGGCUGCAGAGGCUCUCCCUCGCAUCCAACAACCUCGCCGGUCAACUGAGCUCGCGCCUCAGCGACCUCAUAAACCUCACCUUGCUGGAUUUGUCCAUCAACCACUUCUCCGGCCACCUCCCUGACAACGUGUUCCGUGACCUCAUGUCGCUCGAGCAUUUGGUUGCACACUCCAAUGGCUUCUCCGGAUCACUGCCACCGUCCCUGUCAUCACUGUCAUCUCUCCGUGAGCUUAACCUCCGGAAUAACUCUCUGUCUGGUCCGAUUUCUCAUGUCAACUUCUCUGGCAUGCCGCUUCUUGCUUCGGUUGACUUGAGCACAAACUACCUGAAUGGGUUGCUGCCAGUUAGCCUCGCCGACUGCGGCGAGCUAAGGUCGCUCAGCCUUGCCAACAACAGAUUGGUCGGCACCAUCCCGUCGUGGAUUGGUGAGCUUGACCACCUUCACUACUUGGAUCUCUCAAAUAAUUCAAUGAUUGGCAAGGUACCGAAGAGUUCGACACGACUCAAGGGCCUCGCCACCGUUGUGGGGCAUUCACCGGGUAUGGCUUUCACUAACAUGCCCUUGUACGAGAAGCGUAACAGACGCAUUCUCGGCCAACAACCAAAUGUCAUAUCUGGAAGCCGCAACACUAUCAGAUCUGGGACCAACAAUGUUCUAUCUGGGAAUGACAACACUGUCAUAUCCGGGAAUGACAAUGUUGUAACUGGGAGUAACAAUGUCGUAUCUGGUAGUGGCAAUGUCGUGACUGAGAGAAACCAUGUUGUUUCUGGGAGCGACAAUGUCGUAUCCGGGAGGAACAAUGUCGUAACUGGGAGCAAUAAUGUUGUAUCUGGGAGAAACCAUGUCGUAUCUGGGAAUAACAAAGUCGUAACUGGAGGUUAG
rnacentral:rRNA from 1 species